ACGCGCGGAACCUUACCAGGUCUUGACAUCCCAUUGACCGCUAUGGAGACAUAGCUUUCCCUUCGGGGACAGUGGUGACAGGUGGUGCAUGGUUGUCGUCAGCUCGUGUCGUGAGAUGUUGGGUUAAGUCCCGCAACGAGCGCAACCCUUGUUCUUAGUUGCCAUCAUCUAGUUGGGCACUCUAAGGAGACUGCCGGUGACAAACCGGAGGAAGGUGGGGAUGACGUCAAAUCAUCAUGCCCCUUAUGACCUGGGCUACACACGUGCUACAAUGGACGGUACAAACGGUUGCCAACCCGCGAGGGGGAGCUAAUCCGAUAAAACCGUUCUCAGUUCGGAUUGUAGGCUGCAACUCGCCUACAUGAAGCCGGAAUCGCUAGUAAUCGCGGAUCAGCAUGCCGCGGUGAAUACGUUCCCGGGCCUUGCACACACCGCCCGU
rnacentral:rRNA from 1 species